CUAAUUGGUCACCUUGGGAUGAUAACAGGAAGCCACUUCAUGACCUUGAAAACUUAUAAAACAAGCAACUGAAUCCAAAGCCAAGUUGGCUAUCACAGUACAGCAUCUUUUACUCAGCGGAGAGAUGACACAGUUCCAGAGCUACUGAGGGGGAAAAAAGUGCUCACUCUUAUAGCUGUUCAACAGAAAGCCAAGAACAGCUAGAGCUCCUUCUGAAAUGCCAUAUAUUCAAGUGAGGCUGAGGUGACACCAAGACAAGUAUCAUGCAGAGCUCUGGGGCACAGAUGUUGAAGGCCAGCUGUUUACUAAGCCACAGUUAUCCUGUACUUUGCAGUCCCAAGCCUAAUCAUUACAUAGCUCUGCAGAAGGCCCGUCUGCACUGUGAUUUGGAAGAGCCUCAGCAUACUGGAAAGCUCCACUCCUGAACAAUUCCAUGAUGGUUAUCACCGUUUCCAAGGCAGGUGAAUGACUUCGAAGACUACAAUAAAAAUGGCCCAGGUGAUCUCAGCAUGAAACAAAGACUUCAGAAUUUGUGAACCUCCAUCAGAUUAUUUCAUUUAUUGUUACUAAUGAAAUGAGAUUUAGCUUCAUUUCAUUUAGCAAUUAGAUUUGGCAUCAUUAGUGAUUGCUAAAUUUCAU